UACAGAGGGUGCGAGCGUUAAUCGGAAUUACUGGGCGUAAAGCGUGCGUAGACGGUUACGUAAGUCGGGUGUGAAAGCCCCGGGCUCAACCUGGGAAUUGCAUUCGAGACUGCGAAGCUAGGGUGCGGAAGAGGGAAGCGGAAUUUCCGGUGUAGCGGUGAAAUGCGUAGAUAUCGGAAGGAACAUCAGUGGCGAAAGCGGCUUCCUGGUCCAGCACCGACGUUCAGGCACGAAAGCGUGGGGAGCAAACAGA
rnacentral:rRNA from 1 species